AGAUUGAACGCUGGCGGCAUGCCUAACACAUGCAAGUCGAACGGGAGUAGCAAUACUCUAGUGGCGGACGGGUGAGGAAUACGUAGGAAUUUGCCCUUAAGUGGGGGAUAACCCGGGGAAACCCGGAUUAAUACCGCAUGACCUCGAAAGAGCAAAGUGGGGGAUCGCAAGACCUCGCGCUUUUGGAGAAGCCUACGUCGGAUUAGCUAGUUGGUGAGGUAAUGGCUCACCAAGGCGACGAUCCGUAACUGGUCUGAGAGGAUGAUCAGUCACACCGGAACUGAGACACGGUCCGGACUCCGUACGGGAGGCAGCAGGUGGGAAUAGUUGGACAAU
rnacentral:rRNA from 1 species